rnacentral:rRNA from 1 species
UACGGAGGGAGCUAGCGUUGUUCGGAAUUACUGGGCGUAAAGCGCGCGUAGGCGGCUUUGUAAGUUAGAGGUGAAAGCCCGGGGCUCAACUCCGGAACUGCCUUUAAGACUGCAUCGCUUGAAUCCGGGAGAGGUGAGUGGAAUUCCGAGUGUAGAGGUGAAAUUCGUAGAUAUUCGGCGGAACACCAGUGGCGAAGGCGACUCACUGGCCCGAUACUGACGCUGAGGCGCGAAAGCGUGGGGAGCAAACAGG